GAAAAGGGCACUUGCCGUCAAUGGCACGUAGGCGUCUCAUAACGCGGGCACUACGCGGAAUCGCUAUCAAGAGAUUUCGGGUGCAUAAUGUUUGGACAUGAGGGCAGUUGAUUUCGUUAAAUUGACGCCCCA